rnacentral:lncRNA from 1 species
CUUAUGUCCAGGCUCUUAACUCUUUUCCAAGUCCCUUCUGCAGGUCUUCUUCAUUUUCUUUAAUGCUAAAGAGCCAAUCUCGGGGAAAUUCCAACCUGAGAUAGUCUUUCAAUACAGGAAGAGGCUGGAGCUGAUUCAAUAAGUCUGAAGUUGGUGAAUGGGAGGGCUGCUAGACAGAAAGCAAAACAGUCGGAAGGGGCAAUGGUUCAAUAUAUUCUGUAGGAACUGGAAGGAGUCUUCAGAAGGGUCCUCUUGAGUGAUAAUGUCGGCAGUAAGUAGGUCAGGUGAGCCAAAGCACAGAAUGAGGUCAGGCUUGCAAGAGAACUUAAAGCUAUUCUUUUUAAUUAAAAAAAAAAUCUGCAAUGUUUGAAGCAAGAGGAAAAACAAGCAAGUAGCAGGUCCUCUGUGAGGAGAAAAUGGAGAAAUGCUGUUGGGUGACAGAGAAGGUGUAACUGCACAACACCUACUUUGCCCCUGUCUUCACUCAGAAGGAAAGCAGCACCCAACCUGGUGAUAACAUAAUAAUAAAUGAUGCAAGUCCAAGAUAGGAAAAUAAAUGGUUUGGGACCAUGUAGCUACUUUAAAUGAAUUCACAUCUUCAGGGCCUGAUGAGCUGCAUCCAAUGGUUCUAAAAGAGUUUUCAGAUGUAACCUCAGAGCCUUUGUCUAUAAUCUUUGAGAAUUCUGGGAUAACAGGUGAGUUCCCUACAAACUGGAGGCGGGCAAAUGUUGUCCCCAUCUUCAAAAAGGAGAAAAAAGAAGACCCAGGUGCCUAUCAACUGGUCAAGGUGGUGGAUUCUCAUUCCUUGGAGGUUUUUAAACAGCUUGGAUGGUCAUUUCUUUCUUCUUUUUCCUCCUGUGUUGAGGCUGCAUUUUAAUACAUUAAUUUUUCAAUAUUUUAAUGUUGUAUUUUAACCUUGUUUUUAAGUUGUAUUCAUUCAACUUGUUUUUAUUAAUGCUUGUUAGCCACCCUGAGCCCGGCCUUGGCUGGGGAGGGCAGAGUAUAAAUAAUAAUAAUAAUAAUAAUAAUUAUUAUUAUUAUUAUUAUUAUUAUUAUUAUAUCUGUCAUGGAUGUUUCAGUUGAGAUUCCUGCAUUGCAGGGGGCUGGACUAGAUGAUCAUUAGGGUCCCUUCCAACUCUACAAUUCUAAGAUUCUAUGCUUCUAUGUACUAUUCAAAAUGAUGUUAGAGCAUAGCAGAUGUCAUAGUUAAUAACAUAACAUUUCUCCUACCUUCUUAAAUAGCUUGGGCCAGACAAUUGCUUCUGGGUUAAUGGUGAACUUCAGAUUUGAGGACCCUUGUCUCUCUAUUCUUCCAAUUUUCACUCUAGCAAGAGAGUUAUUAGGAAACAGCACCAGAUUCACAAUAUCAAAGUCAAUGGCCAGUGCCCCAUUCUCAUCCAAGUACUGUCCGUCAGCUGAAGUGUUAGAAUAGAACUGGACUUCUUUCAAGAAUGGAUGAAGCUGUAAUGACAGAGGAGUUUCCAGCACCAAGAGAACAUCAAACCAUGUUCAGCCCUUCUUACUCUGCUUUCUAAACUUCUCUGAACAAGAACCACUGUCUCUCUCAUCUGGACUUGUAGUGACCAUUCUAGAUUGUUAGGUCCCCGCAUUCUGCUUCAGAAUUUUGAGGAUGACCAAAGUUAGCAUAAUUACAUAUAUUAGGAAAGGUUGAUUACAGUGUUUAGAAAAUAUGUAAAGAAUGACGAAGAUGGCUUUAUUAAAAGUUUGCAAGCAUAUUGAUUAAUGAUAGUCUAAAAUGGUAGUGCUUGCAUGAGUGUGGUGUAGUGGUUAAGAGCGGUAGACUCGUAAUCUGGGGAACCGGGUUCGUGUCUCCGCUCCUCCACAUGCAGCUGCUGGGUGACCUUGGGCCAGUCACACUUCUUUGAAGUCUCUCAGCCUCACUCACCUCACAGAGUGUUUGUUAUGGGGGAGGAAGGGAAAGGAGAAUGUUAGCUGCUUUGAGACUCCUUCAGGUAGUGAUCAAGCAGCAUAUCAAAUCCAAACUCUUCUUCUUCUUCACUGAAGUAUUUUCCUCUAGUCCUAGCCUGCUUAUUAAAUUCUGUAAAAAGUCAGCUCCAAUAUCCAUAUUAGAUCUAGAUUCUGCAUAUUGUGACAUUUCAAAACUGCCCUGAUUUGGGAACCUUUCUGAAUUGCCACGCUAUGCAGUGUAUGAGGCUGAUAAUAAGUAGAUAAUUUCUGAAUUAGAGUUUCAUUCCAACUAGCUCUACAGCUCUCUCUAUGUUGAGCUGACUUUGAAGUCUGUCUGUAGGUUGCUGUCUGCAAGUCUGCAGGAAUAUAGCACUGAAUCUGUGAACCUGGCUUCCUGUACAAUGAUGGGCCAUUUCUGUUGUGUCCCACCUUCAACUCUAGGAGGAUUCCUGUCCCCUAGGAACCUGGAUCGGAAAAACACUCAUUUCUGCCAGCUGGUGAAAAAAACGUUAUUGUAUUAUUUUAACAUUGUAUUGUAUUUUCUGUUCAUUGCAUUUGCAUGAAAAACACCCUGG